CAGUCGCCGCGGGAAUACGAAGGGUGCAAGCGUUACUCGGAAUUACUGGGCGUAAAGCGUGUGUAGGUGGUUGUUUAAGUCUGUCGUGAAAGCCCUGGGCUCAACCUGGGAAUUGCGAUGGAUACUGGGCGACUAGAGUGCGGUAGAGGAUAGUGGAAUUUCCGGUGUAGCAGUGAAAUGCGUAGAGAUCGGAAGGAACAUCUGUGGCGAAGGCGACUAUCUGGGCCAACACUGACACUGAGACACGAAAGCGUGGGGAGCAAACAGGAUUAGAUACCCCGGUAGUCCCUGUCUCUUAUAC
rnacentral:rRNA from 1 species